GACGAACGCUGGCGGCGUGCUUAACACAUGCAAGUCGAACGGAAAGGCCCUGCUUUUGUGGGGUGCUCGAGUGGCGAACGGGUGAGUAACACGUGAGUAACCUGCCCUUGACUGUGGGAUAACUUCAGGAAACUGGGGCUAAUACCGGAUAGGAGCUCCUGCUGCAUGGUGGGGGUUGGAAAGUUUCGGCGGUUGGGGAUGGACUCGCGGCUUAUCAGCUUGUUGGGGGGGUAGUUGCUUACCAAGGCUUUGACGGGUAGCCGGCCUGAGAGGGUGACCGGCCACAUUGGGACUGAGAUACGGCCCAGACUCCUUCGGGAGGCAGCAGUGGGGAAUAUUGCACAAUGGGCGGAAGCCUGAUGCAGCAACGCCGCGUGCGGGAUGACGGCCUUCGGGUUGUAAACCGCUUUCGCCUGUGACGAAGCGUGAGUGACGGUAAUGGGUAAAGAAGCACCGGCUAACUACGUG
rnacentral:rRNA from 1 species